GGGUUGUGAGGUUAAGCGACUAAGCGUACACGGUGGAUGCCCUGGCAGUCAGAGGCGAUGAAGGACGUGCUAAUCUGCGAUAAGCGUCGGUGAGGUGAUAUGAACCGUUAUAACCGGCGAUUUCCGAAUGGGGAAACCCAGUGUGAUUCGUCACACUAUCAUUAACUGAAUCCAUAGGUUAAUGAGGCGAACCGGGGGAACUGAAACAUCUAAGUACCCCGAGGAAAAGAAAUCAACCGAGAUUCCCCCAGUAGCGGCGAGCGAACGGGGAGGAGCCCAGAGCCUGAAUCAGUGUGUGUGUUAGUGGAAGCGUCUGGAAAGGCGCGCGAUACAGGGUGACAGCCCCGUACACAAAAAUGCACAUGCUGUGAGCUCGAUGAGUAGGGCGGGACACGUGGUAUCCUGUCUGAAUAUGGGGGGACCAUCCUCCAAGGCUAAAUACUCCUGACUGACCGAUAGUGAACCAGUACCGUGAGGGAAAGGCGAAAAGAACCCCGGCGAGGGGAGUGAAAAAGAACCUGAAACCGUGUACGUACAAGCAGUGGGAGCCUCUUAAUGGGGUGACUGCGUACCUUUUGUAUAAUGGGUCAGCGACUUAUAUUCUGUAGCAAGGUUAACCGAAUAGGGGAGCCGAAGGGAAACCGAGUCUUAACUGGGCGUUAAGUUGCAGGGUAUAGACCCGAAACCCGGUGAUCUAGCCAUGGGCAGGUUGAAGGUUGGGUAACACUAACUGGAGGACCGAACCGACUAAUGUUGAAAAAUUAGCGGAUGACUUGUGGCUGGGGGUGAAAGGCCAAUCAAACCGGGAGAUAGCUGGUUCUCCCCGAAAGCUAUUUAGGUAGCGCCUCGUGAAUUCAUCUCCGGGGGUAGAGCACUGUUUCGGCAAGGGGGUCAUCCCGACUUACCAACCCGAUGCAAACUGCGAAUACCGGAGAAUGUUAUCACGGGAGACACACGGCGGGUGCUAACGUCCGUCGUGAAGAGGGAAACAACCCAGACCGCCAGCUAAGGUCCCAAAGUCAUGGUUAAGUGGGAAACGAUGUGGGAAGGCCCAGACAGCCAGGAUGUUGGCUUAGAAGCAGCCAUCAUUUAAAGAAAGCGUAAUAGCUCACUGGUCGAGUCGGCCUGCGCGGAAGAUGUAACGGGGCUAAACCAUGCACCGAAGCUGCGGCAGCGACGUUUAUGCGUUGUUGGGUAGGGGAGCGUUCUGUAAGCCUGCGAAGGUGUACUGUGAGGUAUGCUGGAGGUAUCAGAAGUGCGAAUGCUGACAUAAGUAACGAUAAAGCGGGUGAAAAGCCCGCUCGCCGGAAGACCAAGGGUUCCUGUCCAACGUUAAUCGGGGCAGGGUGAGUCGACCCCUAAGGCGAGGCCGAAAGGCGUAGUCGAUGGGAAACAGGUUAAUAUUCCUGUACUUGGUGUUACUGCGAAGGGGGGACGGAGAAGGCUAUGUUGGCCGGGCGACGGUUGUCCCGGUUUAAGCGUGUAGGCUGGUUUUCCAGGCAAAUCCGGAAAAUCAAGGCUGAGGCGUGAUGACGAGGCACUACGGUGCUGAAGCAACAAAUGCCCUGCUUCCAGGAAAAGCCUCUAAGCAUCAGGUAACAUCAAAUCGUACCCCAAACCGACACAGGUGGUCAGGUAGAGAAUACCAAGGCGCUUGAGAGAACUCGGGUGAAGGAACUAGGCAAAAUGGUGCCGUAACUUCGGGAGAAGGCACGCUGAUAUGUAGGUGAAGUCCCUCGCGGAUGGAGCUGAAAUCAGUCGAAGAUACCAGCUGGCUGCAACUGUUUAUUAAAAACACAGCACUGUGCAAACACGAAAGUGGACGUAUACGGUGUGACGCCUGCCCGGUGCCGGAAGGUUAAUUGAUGGGGUUAGCGGUAACGCGAAGCUCUUGAUCGAAGCCCCGGUAAACGGCGGCCGUAACUAUAACGGUCCUAAGGUAGCGAAAUUCCUUGUCGGGUAAGUUCCGACCUGCACGAAUGGCGUAAUGAUGGCCAGGCUGUCUCCACCCGAGACUCAGUGAAAUUGAACUCGCUGUGAAGAUGCAGUGUACCCGCGGCAAGACGGAAAGACCCCGUGAACCUUUACUAUAGCUUGACACUGAACAUUGAGCCUUGAUGUGUAGGAUAGGUGGGAGGCUUUGAAGUGUGGACGCCAGUCUGCAUGGAGCCGGCCUUGAAAUACCACCCUUUAAUGUUUGAUGUUCUAACGUUGGCCCCUUACCGGGGUUGCGGACAGUGUCUGGUGGGUAGUUUGACUGGGGCGGUCUCCUCCUAAAGAGUAACGGAGGAGCACGAAGGUUGGCUAAUCCUGGUCGGACAUCAGGAGGUUAGUGCAAUGGCAUAAGCCAGCUUGACUGCGAGCGUGACGGCGCGAGCAGGUGCGAAAGCAGGUCAUAGUGAUCCGGUGGUUCUGAAUGGAAGGGCCAUCGCUCAACGGAUAAAAGGUACUCCGGGGAUAACAGGCUGAUACCGCCCAAGAGUUCAUAUCGACGGCGGUGUUUGGCACCUCGAUGUCGGCUCAUCACAUCCUGGGGCUGAAGUAGGUCCCAAGGGUAUGGCUGUUCGCCAUUUAAAGUGGUACGCGAGCUGGGUUUAGAACGUCGUGAGACAGUUCGGUCCCUAUCUGCCGUGGGCGCUGGAGAACUGAGGGGGGCUGCUCCUAGUACGAGAGGACCGGAGUGGACGCAUCACUGGUGUUCGGGUUGUCAUGCCAAUGGCACUGCCCGGUAGCUAAAUGCGGAAGAGAUAAGUGCUGAAAGCAUCUAAGCACGAAACUUGCCCCGAGAUGAGUUCUCCCUGACUCCUUGAGAGUCCUGAAGGAACGUUGAAGACGACGACGUUGAUAGGCCGGGUGUGUAAGCGCAGCGAUGCGUUGAGCUAACCGGUACUAAUGAACCGUGAGGCUUAACCUUACAACGCCGAAG
rnacentral:rRNA from 1 species